CUCUGGCUUGAGUUCAGGAGGUCUGUGAACCAGAGAGAGCCAGGAGCUGCAAGAACAGAAGCAAGGAAAUUACCACUCUGUGCAUAUCCUGCUCUUGAUAUUCGUUCCCUGAACAUCUGCUGCUGAGCACCACUGAAGGUACUGUUCCUGUCUCUGUUGCCAGUAAUUCACUGCAAUUCUUACCAAAAGACAGCUGAAUGGAAAGACAAAGCAGAUGGAUGCUGUGUACUCCCGAGUUCAGACACCCAGACCUAGAGCUGUACAAAAAUCCUCCACCUUGGUGAUACUCACACAGAUUUUCUCCUGACAGUUCUGACCACCCAAGAUUAGCUGUUUCUCUCUGCUCCUGCUGCCUGCACUCAGCCUGCCUUCUCUCAGACCUCAUCUAUAUUGAAAAAUGAACCAUGAAACUCCCUGAGGAUUCAACCAAAGUGCUACCUUGGGGAGUUAUUGGGAUUCCCUUGGCUCAAAAGUUACUUACUUUAGGGACUGAACAAAAAGUACUGAACACCAGAGAAAGAAAGCAUUGAAAGAUCUUUUCCAUAGGAACAACAGUCUUCAGUGCAGUAGCAUGCUAUCUAAGAAAUAGUGGGCAACAGUUUCACUGAAGCAGCCAUGAGGAAUAUGGGUCCUUUGCACAAUUUUCACCAUGAACAUUUAAAAAAAGAAAAUCCCAGCGAUGAUGGACUUCUUCAUUGCAAGUUUUCAACUGUGUGAGAAAACAUAAAUGGUCCUGUUACCUUGAAUACAGAUGGACUCAAUAAAUAAAAUAAUCUUG